GUGGGUAUAGCUCAGUGGUAGAGUGCAUGCUUAGCAUGCAUGGGGUCCUGAGUUCAAUCCCUAGUACCUCCA
rnacentral:tRNA from 1 species